CAGAACACCAGGAGCCUCCCUCUAGGAAGAGUGCUGACAGGCUCUGGAUGUUUUCCUUUCAUUUUGUUGGAACUGCUUCUUCCUGGCAGGGGGAUAUUCCCCAUUCCAGAAGCCUCAUUCUCUCACUGACCGAAAAAGAUCAAGAUAUAGAAUCCAAGUCUUCCUAUUCCUAAGCUUAUGUUUCAGUCGCAAACCCAUCCU
rnacentral:lncRNA from 1 species